rnacentral:misc_RNA from 1 species
CUUUCAGGGGAGUCAAUAAGAGAACUUUGAAUUCCUUGAUCAAAAAUCCAAUUUGAUUUUUCAACUGAAGUGUUUACAGCAGCUGGAUAGGUCUUGCUGCUAUCAACACUGCUACUCCAAGGUGAAGUAUCAUCUUAUCAACAGGACUUUCAACAUUUUGAGAACAGUGAUCCAAGGAGUGGGGAUAUUCCUGACCAAGGAC